rnacentral:rRNA from 1 species
AACGAACGCUGGCGGCAGGCUUAACACAUGCAAGUCGAACGCCCCGCAAGGGGAGUGGCAGACGGGUGCGUAACGCGUGGGAACAUACCCUUUCCUGCGGAAUAGCUCCGGGAUACUGGAAUUAAUACCGCAUACGCCCUACGGGGGAAAGAUUUAUCGGGGAAGGAUUGGCCCGCGUUGGAUUAGCUAGUUGGUGGGGUAAAGGCCUACCAAUGCGACGAUCCAUAGCUGGUCUGAGAGGAUGAUCAGACACAUUGGGACUGAGACACGGCCCAAACUCCUACGGGAGGCAGCAGUGGGGAAUAUUGGAAAAUCGGCGCAAGCCUGAUCCAGCCAUGCCGCGUGAGUGAUGAAGGCCUUAGGGUUGUAAAGCUCUUUCACCGAUGAAGAUAAUGACGGUAGUCGGAGAAGAAGCCCCGGCUAACUUCGUG